rnacentral:rRNA from 1 species
UACGUAGGGUCCGAGCGUUGUCCGGAAUUACUGGGCGUAAAGAGCUCGUAGGUGGUUUGUCGCGUUGUUCGUGAAAACUCACAGCUUAACUGUGGGCGUGCGGGCGAUACGGGCAGACUGGAGUACUGCAGGGGAGACUGGAAUUCCUGGUGUAGCGGUGGAAUGCGCAGAUAUCAGGGGGAACACCGGUGGCGAAGGCGGGUCUCUGGGCAGUAACUGACGCUGAGGAGCGAAAGCGUGGGGAGCGAACAGG